rnacentral:rRNA from 1 species
UACGGGGGGGGCAAGCGUUGUUCGGAAUUACUGGGCGUAAAGGGCUCGUAGGCGGACAACUAAGUCAGACGUGAAAUCCCUCGGCUUAACCGGGGAACUGCGUCUGAUACUGGAUGGCUUGAGUUUGGGAGAGGGACGCGGAAUUCCAGGUGUAGCGGUGAAAUGCGUAGAUAUCUGGAGGAACACCGGUGGCGAAGGCGGCGUCCUGGACCAACACUGACACUGAUGAGCGAAAGCCAGGGGAGCAAACGGG